AACGUAGGACACAAGCGUUAUCCGGAGUUACUGGGCGUAAAGGGCGUGUAGGCCGGACCUAUAAGUCUAUUCUGAAAGCUCCUGGCUAAACUGGGAGAGGCGAAUGGAGACUGUAGAUCUAGAGUGAGGUAAGAGGAAAGUGGAAUUCCGCGUGUAGUGGUGAAAUGCGUAGAGAUGCGGAGGAAUCACCAGUGGCGAAAGCGACUUCUGGUCCUUAACUGACGCUGAGGCGCGAAAAGCAUGGGGGAGCGAACGGGA
rnacentral:rRNA from 1 species